rnacentral:misc_RNA from 1 species
CCUUGUGGAGGAGGACGCCGAAGGUGGGGCUAAUGACUGGGGUGAAGUCGUAACAAGGUAGCCGUACCGGAAGGUGCGGCUGGAUCACCUCCUAACAGGGAGACAACAAAAUGUUAAAUAUUAAUUUUGUCACCUUAGGUCGAUCGGUAUCUCACAUUUUUAAUUUAUUAAGAAUUUUAUUUCCUAAGUUUUUUCUAGGUCACACCCAUUACUUUUCCUGGGCCAUUAGCUCAGGUGGUUAGAGCGCACCCCUGAUAAGGGUGAGGUCCCUGGUUCAAGUCCAGGAUGGCCCAUAUCUCUAUGUUGGGGGUAUAGCUCAGUUGGUAGAGCGCCUGCUUUGCAAGCAGGAUGUCAGCGGUUCGAGUCCGCUUACCUCCACUGAUCACCACCUCUUCCAUAUUUUUAUAGAAGGGAAUUGUUUUGAGUAGUGAUCAAAUUCUGAACGAAUCUAGCUUCCUAAUAAAAAUUAUUAAGAUGCUGGACUCAAUGAAUUAAUUUCAUUGUUUUCAGAGAACCUUGACAACUGCAUAGAUUAUUUUUAAAGACAAUAAGCAUCUUUAAUGAUGCAGAUUUAUUAUUUGUGCGAAUGCAUUAAUAACAAUUCUAUUAAGCUGAUGCUUCAAUUUUUGAAGUUAUUGGUCAAGCUACAAAGGGCUCACGGAGGAUACCUAGGCACACAGAGGCGAUGAGGUC